rnacentral:lncRNA from 1 species
UUCUUGGUGAAAGACUGAACUAGCAAUUACAAACUUUACAAAUGAGAAAUACACAUGUCCCCUGCCUGGUAUCUGUUGCAAUUGCCCUUUAUUCAAUCACCCACAGCUGGAGUAAUUGGAUCUUUAGGUACAGGUUAAUGGGAUAAUUAGGCAAACACGAUCAAACUUGUAUACUAUGAGGAAAUGGAUGGCUGCUGUCUCUGAGCAUCCUGUUGUACGCUGUGCUUGUGCAACCUGUUCUUCAUUUCUAUGGGCAAUAAAGUGGGAG